UUCCUUGUUUGCUGUUUUGCUGCAAAACAAAUGAAGUCCUCCCAGCUGCUCUGACUGUGAGUCUCAGCAGAUCUCAGUUCUUUGAAGGAGACUCUGUGUCUCUGAGCUGUGAGGAGGACAACAGCUCUGCUGGAUGGACUGUGA